rnacentral:tRNA from 1 species
UAGCCAAGUGGAUCAAGGCAGUGGAUUGUGAAUCCACCACGCGCGGGUUCAAUCCCCGGU